AAAUGAUUCUGCAUUCAUUUUUAAAAAUAGCGCAUAAUUAUCGAGUGAAAAAAAAUGAAUUUUACUUCCUUACACCCCUACUCGCGAAGACAUGGAGGUUUAAAGAGCGGAAAAUGCGCAGCGACAAUUCGGCGCAGCGACAAUUGGGCGCAACGACAAUUCGGCGCGGUGUCAAUACGGCGCAGCGACAAUUCGGCGCGUAUCUAUUACAGUUGCAAUUUAUUAUAAAUUACUUAGCAUAAAAAUAUAAGUAAUA